UAUAAACAGACCAUAAAUGUCUUAGAUGUUAUUUUCUUGGAAAGCUGUGAGUGCUAUUAUAUGAUACAAUAUCAGUACUUGUGUUUUAAACUUGUCUAAGUCCUAUCAUCAACUGAUUUGAGCCAGUCUAUGGCUGUGUGUAGACUGCAUUGUUUGAAUUGAGUGUUAGCACAGUGGCAGUUAAUUUGAAAAAUUACUGUAAUCAUUCCUCUAAAACUGUCUGGCUAGCUAACAUAUAUACAGUGCGGAUACAUUUGUCACAUUUAUUGUUUUACACAUUAUCUUAUCACAGCACUGACGAACCAUGGUUGGCCAACUCCCUCACCAACAUGGCUGACCUUUGGACCAUCAUGAGAAGGUUCAUGUCCAUUCUACUAUUCUAAUUCCUAUGUUGAAUAACCCCUUUUGGUUCCAGGUAGAAGAACCUGUCCGGUUCCAGGUAGAACCCUUUUGGGUUCCAUGUCCAAUCCUUUUCAAAGAGGGUUCGACCUGGAACCAAAAGGGCGUCUCCUAUGGGGACAGCCGCAAAACCUUUUUGGAACCCUUUUUUCGAGUAGUGUAGAUAUCAUAAAUUGAAACGUCCUUCCUACUUACCCGAUCGACUACCAAUGUUGUUCUUCUGCGAGCUGCUCCAUGAGACAACCAGUUGAGAGCUGCAGGCUGUGGCUGCCUGACAGAUGAUAUUCCGCUGAAACUAGGGCUCAAGAUCAACAGAGGUGACUAAUGGAGACUGUCUGGAGAGAAGCAAGGGUCUUCGGCCUGCCAGGAAGAGAAGGUUCCAGAGUCCUGAUAUCUUUCUCUCUCUCUUGUUUGGAGCCUGCCCAGAAACGGAAUUAUCAUUCAGUUUGACCAGCCAGACAUAUUCCCUGGUUCACAAGAACAAGGCCAUCUCUAGUCUUUGAAGUCACUAUGCAACUUAAAUAAAAGUUUCUUUGAUGUGCCGAAUAUGAAUAUGUUUGUUGCCGUAGAGAGAUGGAACAUGGGACAUUACAGAGGUAAUAUGUAUUUGUGUUAUAAUUGAUUUUUUUUAUAUAUUAUGACAGGACACUGGAUAUAGAUAUAGAUAGACUUAGGGUAUAGACAUAGAUAGGCAUUGACAAUUUGGUGUGUUACAGUAUUUGUUCCUCUAUCUAGUUCCCUUCCCCCCUCUUUCAAUAUUGGUACAACACAAUGGUUGCUCACCCACAGCCCCAGAUUCCAAGAGGUAGUUUAGUUUACUGUAGCCCAGGGCCAGGCACCUACUGUUAAAGUUUACCUUUGUCAAAAAUUAAAUGUGCUUUUGUGUGUCUUUACUCUACAUGUCCCACCUCACUAGUGAAUUGUUACUAAAUGUGAUCAUGGAUUGGAGAAAUAAAACAAGAUCCUAAAUAA